rnacentral:rRNA from 1 species
GAUGAACGCUAGCUACAGGCUUAACACAUGCAAGUCGAGGGGAAACGAUAGAGAAAGCUCGCUUUUUCUAGGCGUCGACCGGCGCACGGGUGAGUAACGCGUAUCCAACCUGCCCAUCACUUGGGGAUAACCUUGCGAAAGUAAGACUAAUACCCAAUGACGUCUCUAGAAGACAUCUGAAAGAGAUUAAAGAUUUAUCGGUGAUGGAUGGGGAUGCGUCUGAUUAGCUUGUUGGCGGGGUAACGGCCCACCAAGGCGACGAUCAGUAGGGGUUCUGAGAGGAAGGUCCCCCACAUUGGAACUGAGACACGGUCCAAACUCCUACGGGAGGCAGCAGUGAGGAAUAUUGGUCAAUGGACGAGAGUCUGAACCAGCCAAGUAGCGUGCAGGAUGACGGCCCUAUGGGUUGUAAACUGCUUUUACCUGGGAAUAACGGGCGCUACGCGUAGCGCGUGUGCAGUGUACCGGGAGAAUAAGCAUCGGCUAAUUCCGUGCCAGCA